rnacentral:lncRNA from 10 species
UACUUAUAUAAUAAGCCCCUGAAAGUAAAAGUUAAAAAAAAGAAAACAAAAGUAACAAAAGAAAAAAAUAGGGUCCUAAAAAGUGAAAAAUAAAAAUCAUGGGUCCUCAUGGAUCCACCUGGACGAUGGACUCCUCCUUACCUGGAGGUUUCUCCUGCCAGGAUGCCCACUUCUUGCCUCUAUUUCACUGCUUACCCGCUCCCAUCUGCCUCUGACACCCGAAACAUUCUGGAAUUGCUUGUCCGCUGGUGUCAGCCAUUCCCCUUCCUAAGUGGCCAUGGGUUUGUUUCCUUGCAUAAUGACACUGACAUUUCCCUGAAAGUUGGAAGAGAAGGGGAGAGGAGGCGUGUGAUGGACCCGCCACCUUGAAUGGAAAGCCUUAAAUUACUUCUCAAAUAAAAAGGCUUCAAAAAUCAAUGACAAACUGGUGAAAUACCAAAUUUAACACACACUGAUUUAAAUUGCCUUUGUCUUCAACGUAUAAACAGAUGGGAAGCUUUUCGAGGAUUGCAUUUUAUAUUUCUAUAUCUCCUCAUAUUUUAUAGGACUGAAGGGGCCCUUGGAGAUCAUUCUGCCUGUAUCCAUGAGGAGACCAGAUCUCUGAGCAGUGAGCUCUUAACUGACUGUGGAGAAGCCCUUCAGUUCUGGAGUAAGAUCCGUCCCACUUGAAUUGUAGCUUUUACGCUGACUGCGAGAUUUUGAGCAAGUACUGAUUUCUCUAAGAGCCAUUCUCUAAUCUAUAAAAUGACGUAUUAAUGGAACAUGCAUAAUAGAAUUGUUAUGAGGAUAGAAUGAGAUUAUGCAUGUAAAGUGUUCAGUACCAUGCUGCACCUAACACAUAUUGCUGUUAUCAUUAAUUAUUAUUACCAAGCAGGUUUAGACUACUAGUGUACCCAAUGAACUUUUUUUUAUGGUAAAUGAUCAUCUAAUUUGUUAUCUGUUCACUUUGUGACAUUAUAAGUGAUUAAAGUUGUAUAAGGGAAAUGAGAAAAGAAAUUUAAUUUUGUUAGGAGAAAAAAAUUACUGCUACAAUGAGGUAAAUGGAACAAAAAAGAA